CUGGCCAAUAGGGCUCCCAGGGGGAAAGUCAGUGUCUUGGAGGAGCGUGAGCAGGCGAGACACAGAGAUGGGUGGAGCUGACAAGGUCACUGGAUGCCCCAUGUCCUGCCUCAUCCUGGAAAGGACAGACACAGGAGCCUGGUCUGCUGGCAGGCCCCCUGCUGGGCUGGCACAGGAAGACCUCUGCCAACUUGAGGUCUACUACAGUGGAGCUGAAUUCAAGGUCUGGUCACUUGAUGUGCCACGUGAUGCAACCCAACCCAACCACACCAAGCCAUGGGUCUCUAGAUGGGCCAUCAUCAUCCCAGCAGAAAAGGUGAUAGAUGCCUGUUCCAGAAGUACCUUGUCUAUCGGAAACAUGUGUUCCCAACUGACCUAGAAGAGAUGAAAGGAACCUAUUAUGUGGAAGAAAUAGAGAAAAUCAUCAUGGACAACCUCUUCCACAAAUUAAGUGCCAACAAGUCAAGGUGUUUUCCAGGGACCUCUGCCCAAGGGUUAAAGAGCAGACACUUCCAGCACAGUUAAAACUUCCCCAGAAUGUACAGAAAGAAGAAAAACAUCCGAAUUAUACUUUGUCAUGAAUAGAG
rnacentral:lncRNA from 1 species